ACGGGUGAGUAACACGUGGGAACGUGCCCUUCGGUUCGGAAUAACUCAGGGAAACUUGAGCUAAUACCGGAUGCGCCCUUAUGGGGAAAGGUUUACUGCCGAAGGAUCGGCCCGCGUCUGAUUAGCUUGUUGGUGGGGUAACGGCCUACCAAGGCGACGAUCAGUAGCUGGUCUGAGAGGACGAUCAGCCACACUGGGACUGAGACACGGCCCAGACUCCUACGGGAGGCAGCAGUGGGGAAUAUUGGACAAUGGGCGCAAGCCUGAUCCAGCCAUGCCGCGUGAGUGAUGAAGGCCUUAGGGUUGUAAAGCUCUUUUGUCCGGGACGAUAAUGACGGUACCGGAAGAAUAAGCCCCGGCUAACUUCGUGCCAGCAGCCGCGGUAGUACGAAGGGGGCUAGCGUUGCUCGGAAUCACUGGGCGUAAAGGGCGCGUAGGCGGCCGAUUAAGUCGGGGGUGAAAGCCUGUGGCUCAACCACAGAAUUGCCUUCGAUACUGGUUGGCUUGAGACCGGAAGAGGACAGCGGAACUGCGAGUGUAGAGGUGAAAUUCGUAGA
rnacentral:rRNA from 1 species